AUUGAACGCUGGCGGCAGGCCUAACACAUGCAAGUCGAGCGGAUGAAGGGAGCUUGCUCCUGGAUUCAGCGGCGGACGGGUGAGUAAUGCCUAGGAAUCUGCCUGGUAGUGGGGGAUAACGUCCGGAAACGGGCGCUAAUACCGCAUACGUCCUGAGGGAGAAAGUGGGGGAUCUUCGGACCUCACGCUAUCAGAUGAGCCUAGGUCGGAUUAGCUAGUUGGUGGGGUAAAGGCCUUCCAAGGCGACGAUCCGUAACUGGUCUGAGAGGAUGAUCAGUCACACUGGAACUGAGACACGGUCCAGACUCCUACGGGAGGCAGCAGUGGGGAAUAUUGGAUAAUGGGCGAAAGCCUGAUCCAGCCAUGCCGCGUGUGUGAAGAAGGUCUUCGGAUUGUAAAGCACUUUAAGUUGGGAGGAAGGGCAGUAAGUUAAUACCUUGCUGUUUUGACGUUACCAACAGAAUAAGCACCGGCUAACUUCGUG
rnacentral:rRNA from 1 species